ACGCCUUCAUGGUGCCUCUCGCUCACUGCCACAGUAAAAGAGGAAGCAGCAGGGCGGAGCAUGCGCACGUCAAAUGGAGGGCGGAAGUUCCUCAGAGGUGCCGUCCGAGUGGAGUUCCCCCUAGAAACCCAAGAAGAUUCUCUCUGCUCUGACUGGAUGCCUGAGUGUGGGAGAAUCAGCUGAUCAGUACCUGUACCUGCUGAGCUGUCUGCUGUGUCCUGUCAUGUGACCCUGCCAGGUGUUCACAUACUCAUGGAAUCUUUAACCUUGUAUAACUAUAAGAAGAAGAAGAAAAACAAGAAGAAGAAUGUAUUAUCUUGGCAAAUGUAUUCUUUAGUGUCUUUGGACUUCAUAAGAAACAGAUCUAGUAAUCAUGGUCUAUGUGCUUGCCCAUAAAAGUUCAUCUUUCCCAUACUGAACCCAUCUUGUGACUUUCAUUGAAGAAAACAAACUAGAUGUUAAGUCUGUGACCUCAGGAACAACACAAAGGGCCUACUGUGUUUCCUGUCCUGUUAUUGUCACCUUUUAGCUUUUUGCAUGUCUGAUUUAAAAUAAACAAAGCGGUCUUGAUUCAACAUCUCCAUGUCAAUGAAUCUACUGAUCUAAUGAAGCAAAGGCUGUGUAAGACAGAGAGAACGACAGUUCCAGCUGAACUUUAACUUUUAACCUCAGACUUAAAUCCAGCCAAAAUUCAGCCUGAAGCUUCUCUGCAGUCUGACAGCUUCAUUGAAAAAAUAUAUAAAUAAAUAAAAUAAAAUAAAUCAAGAAAAGAUUGCACAAACAGAGGAAUUAAAAAUGCUAAUGAAAUGUUCAAAAUUAGAGUUAGGGUUCACUUGUUGGAUCACUUGUUUUUCUAUUGUGAAUCAGUUCACUCCUUUUGAAUUGAU